UACGGAGGGUGCAAGCGUUAUCCGGAUUCACUGGGUUUAAAGGGUGCGUAGGCGGGUUUGUAAGUCAGUGGUGAAAUCCCGAAGCUUAACUUCGGAACUGCCGUUGAUACUACAGGUCUUGAAUACUCGGGAGGUGAGCGGAAUAUGUCAUGUAGCGGUGAAAUGCUUAGAUAUGACAUAGAACACCGAUUGCGAAGGCAGCUCACUACAGAGUCAUUGACGCUGAGGCACGAAAGCGUGGGGAUCAAACAGG
rnacentral:rRNA from 2 species